CAGUAGCCGCGGUAAUACGUAGGUGGCGAGCGUUGUCCGGAAUCAUUGGGCGUAAAGGGAGCGCAGGCGGGCAUGUAAGUCUUUCUUAAAAGUGCGGGGCUCAACCCCGUGAUGGGAAAGAAACUACAUGUCUUGAGUACAGGAGAGGAAAGCGGAAUUCCCAGUGUAGCGGUGAAAUGCGUAGAUAUUGGGAGGAACACCAGUGGCGAAGGCGGCUUUCUGGACUGCAACUGACGCUGAGGCUCGAAAGCCAGGGGAGCGAACGGGAUUAGAGACCCCGGUAGUCCCUGUCUAUUAUACA
rnacentral:rRNA from 1 species